UACAGAGGUCCCAAGCGUUGUUCGGAUUCAUUGGGCGUAAAGGGUGCGUAGGCGGCGCGGUUAGUCGGGUGUGAAAUCUCGGGGCUUAACUCCGAAACUGCAUUCGAUACUGCCGUGCUUGAGGACUGGAGAGGAGACUGGAAUUUACGGUGUAGCGGUGAAAUGCGUAGAUAUCGUAAGGAAGACCAGUGGCGAAGGCGGGUCUCUGGACAGUUCCUGACGCUGAGGCACGAAGGCCAGGGGAGCAAACGGG
rnacentral:rRNA from 1 species